UACGGGGGGGGCAAGCGUUGUUCGGAAUUACUGGGCGUAAAGGGCUCGUAGGUGGCCAACUAAGUCAGACGUGAAAUCCCUCGGCUUAACCGGGGAACUGCGUCUGAUACUGGAUGGCUUGAGUUUGGGAGAGGGACGCGGAAUUCCAGGUGUAGCGGUGAAAUGCGUAGAUAUCUGGAGGAACACCGGUGGCGAAGGCGGCGUCCUGGACCAACACUGGACACUGAUGAGCGAAAGCGUGGGGAGCAAACAGG
rnacentral:rRNA from 1 species